AGAGAUGUAGUAUAUUUAUUAUAUUUGGUUUGGGACUAAAAGAUAUUACAUUAGUAAUCAUUUCUA
rnacentral:tRNA from 1 species